AGAGUUUGAUCCUGGCUCAGAACGAACGCUGGCGGCAGGCUUAACACAUGCAAGUCGAGCGCCCCGCAAGGGGAGCGGCAGACGGGUGAGUAACACGUGGGAACAUACCCUUCGGUUCGGAAUAACUCAGGGAAACUUGAGCUAAUACCGGAUACGUUCGCGAGAAGAAAGAUUUAUCGCCGAAGGAUUGGCCCGCGUCC
rnacentral:rRNA from 1 species